rnacentral:pre_miRNA from 1 species
CUUGGAGGGGGGGGGGUCCCUCUGCCUAGAUUGUGAGAGGACACAGGCCAGGCCGAGGGACUCUACUGGUGUACA